AGGACGAACGCUGGCGGCGUGCUUAACACAUGCAAGUCGAACGGUGAAGCCCUUCGGGGUGGAUCAGUGGCGAACGGGUGAGUAACACGUGGGCAAUCUGCCCUGCAUUCUGGGACAAGCCUUGGAAACGAGGUCUAAUACCGGAUACGACGCAUCCCCGCAUGGGGUGUGCGUGGAAAGCUCCGGCGAUGCAGGAUGAGCCCGCGGCCUAUCAGCUUGUUGGUGGGGUAAUGGCCUACCAAGGCGACGACGGGUAGCCGGCCUGAGAGGGCGACCGGCCACACUGGGACUGAGACACGGCCCAGACUCCUACGGGAGGCAGCAGUGGGGAAUAUUGCACAAUGGGCGAAAGCCUGAUGCAGCGACGCCGCGUGAGGGAUGACGGCCUUCGGUUGUAACCUCUUUCAGCAGGGAAGAAGCGCAAGUGACGGUACCUGCAGAAGAAGCACCGGCUAACUACGUGCCAGCAGCCGCGGU
rnacentral:rRNA from 1 species